rnacentral:rRNA from 1 species
GACGAACGCUGGCGGCGUGCCUAAUACAUGCAAGUCGAACGCACAGUUUAUACCGUAGCUUGCUACACCAUAGACUGUGAGUUGCGAACGGGUGAGUAACGCGUAGGUAACCUGCCUGGUAGCGGGGGAUAACUAUUGGAAACGAUAGCUAAUACCGCAUAAUAUUAAUUAUUGCAUGAUAAUUAAUUGAAAGGUGCAAUUGCACCACUACCAGAUGGACCUGCGUUGUAUUAGCUAGUAGGUGAGGUAACGGCUCACCUAGGCGACGAUACAUAGCCGACCUGAGAGGGUGAUCGGCCACACUGGGACUGAGACACGGCCCAGACUCCUACGGGAGGCAGCAGUAGGGAAUCUUCGGCAAUGGACGACAGUCUGACCGAGCAACGCCGCGUGAGUGAAGAAGGGUUUCGGAUCGUAAAGCUCUGUUGUAAGAGAAGAACGGGUGUGAGAGUGGAAAGUUCACACUGUGACGGUAUCUUACCAGAAAGGGACGGCUAACUACGUG